rnacentral:rRNA from 1 species
CCUACGGGCGGCAGCAGUGAGGAAUAUUGGUCAAUGGGCGCGAGCCUGAACCAGCCAAGUAGCGUGAAGGAUGACUGCCCUACGGGUUGUAAACUUCUUUUAUACAGGAAUAAAGUGAGUCACGUGUGCCGUUUUGUAUGUACCUUAUGACUAAGGAUCGGCUAAGUCCGUGCCAGCAGCCGCGGUAAUACGAAGGAUUCGGGGGUUAUCCGGAUUUAUUGGGUUUAAGGGGUGCGUAGGCGGAUUUUCAAGUCGGCGGUAAAAUGUCGGGGCUCAACCCGGGCCGGCCGUUGAAACUGGGGAUCUUGAGUGUGCGAGAGGCAGGCGGAAUGCGUGGUGUAGCGGUGAAAUGCAUAGAUAUCACGAAGAACUCCGAUGGCGAAGGCAGCAUACCGGAGCCCGACUGACGCUGAGGCACGAAAGCGUGGGGAUCGAACAGGAUUAGAUACCCUUGUAGUC